rnacentral:rRNA from 1 species
AGAGGGUGAAACUCCCGUCCGCCUGGUAGAAUGAGUCUUUGUCAACGAGUCGAGUUGUUUGGGAUUGCAGCUCUAAUUUGGUGGUAAAUUCCAUCUAAAGCUAAAUAUUGGUGGGAGACCGAUAGCGUACAAGUACCAUGAGGGAAAGAUGCAAAGAACUUUGAAAAGAGAGUUAAAGAGUACCUGAAACUGCUGAAACGGAAGCGAAGGAAACCAGUGUUUGUUUGUUCAUAUUUCCCUAGCCACUUGUGGCUUGGGCGCUGUGGGCUUGCGUGAGUUUGGGUUGGUUGAUUCCUUUGGAAGAGCGCAGUCAGAGUUGAUGUCU